rnacentral:rRNA from 1 species
UACGAAGGGGGGCUAGCGUUGUUCGGAAUUACUGGGCGUAAAGGGCGCGCAGGCGGCCGCUCAAGUCAGAUGUGAAAGCCCCCGGGCUCAACCUGGGAACUGCAUUUGAUACUGAGUGGCUAGAGUUCGGGAGAGGAGAGUGGAAUUCCCAGUGUAGAGGUGAAAAUUCGUAGAUAUUGGGAAGAACACCGGUGGCGAAGGCGGCUCUCUGGACCGAUACUGACGCUGAGGCGCGAAAAGCGUGGGGGAGCAAACAGG